rnacentral:tRNA from 1 species
UCUCUCGAGCCGGAUUUGAACCAGUGACCUAAGGAUCACCGUUGAAACAUCUACAGUCCUCCGCUCUCCCAACUGAGCUAUCGAGGG